rnacentral:ncRNA from 1 species
GGGGAAGCCGGUAGAAGCCGGCGCUGACCCGCAACCGUGAGCGAGGCCCACCUCGCGAGCCGGAAUGCCC